rnacentral:rRNA from 1 species
GAUGAACGCUGGCGGCGUGCUUAACACAUGCAAGUCGAACGGGAUCCAUCAAGCUUGCUUGGUGGUGAGAGUGGCGAACGGGUGAGUAAUGCGUGACCGACCUGCCCCAUACACCGGAAUAGCUCCUGGAAACGGGUGGUAAUGCCGGAUGUUCCAGUUGAUCGCAUGGUCUUCUGGGAAAGCUUUCGCGGUAUGGGAUGGGGUCGCGUCCUAUCAGCUUGACGGCGGGGUAACGGCCCACCGUGGCUUCGACGGGUAGCCGGCCUGAGAGGGCGACCGGCCACAUUGGGACUGAGAUACGGCCCAGACUCCUACGGGAGGCAGCAGUGGGGAAUAUUGCACAAUGGGCGCAAGCCUGAUGCAGCGACGCCGCGUGAGGGAUGGAGGCCUUCGGGUUGUAAACCUCUUUUAUCGGGGAGCAAGCGUGAGUGAGUUUACCCGUUGAAUAAGCACCGGCUAACUACGUGCCAGCAGCCGCAGUAACAC